rnacentral:rRNA from 1 species
UGGCGGCGCGCCUAACACAUGCAAGUCGAACGAGAGAUGAGGAGCUUGCUCUUCAAAUCGAGUGGCGAACGGGUGAGUAACGCGUGAGGAACCUGCCUCAAGGAGGGGGACAACAGUUGGAAACGACUGCUAAUACCGCAUAAGCCCACGGCUCGGCAUCGAGCAGAGGGAAAAGGAGCAAUCCGCUUUGAGAUGGCCUCGCGUCCGAUUAGCUAGUUGGUGAGGUAACGGCCCACCAAGGCGACGAUCGGUAGCCGGACUGAGAGGUUGAACGGCCACAUUGGGACUGAGACACGGCCCAGACUCCUACGGGAGGCAGCAGUGGGGAAUAUUGCACAAUGGGGGAAACCCUGAUGCAGCGACGCCGCGUGAAGGAUGAAGUAUUUCGGUAUGUAAACUUCUAUCAGCAGGGAAGAAAAUGACGGUACCUGACUAAGAAGCCCCGGCUAACUACGUGCCAGCAGCCGCGGUAAUACGUAGGGGGCAAGCGUUAUCCGGAAUUACUGGGUGUAAAGGGAGCGCAGGCGGGAGAACAAGUUGGAAGUGAAAUCCAUGGGCUCAACCCAUGAACUGCUUUCAAAACUGUUUUUCUUGAGUAGUGCAGAGGUAGGCGGAAUUCCCGGUGUAGCGGUGGAAUGCGUAGAUAUCGGGAGGAACACCAGUGGCGAAGGCGGCCUACUGGGCACCAACUGACGCUGAGGCUCGAAAGUGUGGGUAGCAAACAGGAUUAGAUACCCUGGUAGUCCACACCGUAAA